rnacentral:rRNA from 1 species
GACGAACGCUGGCGGCGUGCCUAAUACAUGCAAGUCGAACGCAGUGGGGACGGGUGAGUAACACGUGGGUAACCUCCCAUCAGGGGGGAUAACACUUGGAAACAGUGCUAAACCGAUACUGAUGGAUGGACCCGCGGUGCAUUAGCUAGUUGGUGGGGUAACGGCUCACCAAGGCCACGAUGCAUAGCCGACAUGAGAGGUGGAUCGGGCAGAGUGGGACUGAGACACGGCCCAGACUCCCACGGGAGGCAGCAGUAGGGAAUCUUCAGCAAUGGACGAAAGGCUGACCGGGCAACGCCGCGGGAGUGAAGAAGGUUUUCGGAUCGUAAAACGCUGGUGUUAGAGAAGCGGUAACUAACCAGAAAGCCACGGCUAACUACGUGCCAGCCGCCGCGGUAAUAA